rnacentral:rRNA from 1 species
UACGUAGGGACCAAGCGUUGUUCGGAUUUACUGGGCGUAAAGGGCGCGUAGGCGGCAAUUCAAGUCAUCUGUGAAAUCUCCGGGCUUAACCCGGAACGGUCAGGUGAUACUGUUUUGCUAGAGUGCGGAAGGGGCAAUCGGAAUUCUCGGUGUAGCGGUGAAAUGCGUAGAUAUCGAGAGGAACACCAGAGGUGAAGACGGGUUGCUGGGCCGACACUGACGCUGACAGCGCGAAAGCCAGGGGAGCGAACGGG